CGACAGCAAUAUGAAGGUCAGGCUGAAGACCUUACCCGAUUAGCUGAGAGGUGGUGCGUGGCCGUCGUCAGUUCGUACUGUGAAGCAUCCUGUUAAGUCAGGCAACGAGCGAGACCCACGUCCACAGUUGCCAGCAUACCCUCCGGGGUGAUGGGUACACUGUGGAGACCGCCGCUGCUAAAGCGGAGGAAGGAGUGGGCAACGGUAGGUCAGUAUGCCCCGAAUCUCCCGGGCUACACGCGGGCUACAAUGGUUGGUACAAUGGGCAUCUACCCCGAAAGGGGAAGGAAAUCUCUUAAAGCCAAUCGUAGUUCGGAUUGAGGGCUGCAACUCGCCCUCAUGAAGCUGGAAUCCGUAGUAAUCGCGUUUCAACAGAACGCGGUGAAUGCGUCCCUGCUCCUU
rnacentral:rRNA from 1 species